rnacentral:lncRNA from 10 species
CUUAGGGAGCUCUGAAUUUGGUAAAGAAGCAAAACAAGUCAAUCAGCCAUCACGAAGUGCUGCUGUCAGCAAGGUCUCCAUGGCGUGUGGGAGGACACAAAGGAGAGGCAUCUAAAUUAAGCUGGAGUCAAGAUGGAGAAACUACAGCCCAGAGAGGGGAGUGAUUUUCCCGUUGUUGCACAUCUCAUUAGUGAAGAUGUUAAAGAAAAUCCUGGAGAUCCUGGAUGUGGAGGAGCCACAUGAUGGAAGGAAUGUGGAUCCAAUCACUCUUGGAGAAGAGCCACUGACUGGAAUUGGACUGUGAGAAAAUCUUGGAUCAAGAGUGGGAAGAGUCCUCAAGAAAAUAUCUAGUUUAACUACCCAACUCACAGAUUAAGAAACAGAGGCCCAGGAGGAGGUGUGGAAUUGCCUGUGGUUGUCCAGCCUGUUAGGAGGCAGAACUUAAGGGCUUUGUAUACAGUCUAGUGGGCCUCACAGGUCACAUACAUCCUCCUCUAUCUGGCUGCUCCAAACUGUAUGAAUGCAAACAGCAUGAGAAUAUCUUGUGGUAGUAAUUAAGUCACUAACAGAAAUUCUCCAGCUUGGGUACCUAAACCUGGCUAACCAUUAUUUGAACUAGAUAAAAACCAGAUACACAAAUCCCACUCUAGGAGAUGCUGAUUUGGAAGCUUAGGCGUUGAGCCCAGAAAUCUCUACUUUAAAAAGAGCUCGGCCGGGCGCGGUGGCUCACGCCUGUAAUCUCAGCACUUUGGGAGGCCGAGGCGGGUGGAUCAUGAGGUCAGGAGAUCGAG